rnacentral:lncRNA from 1 species
GAAUAAAUACAGAGGACUGUUAGGAUAGAUCAAUGUGGAUUACCACAAAAGUUCAUAAUAAGUUAACUUUUUACUCAAUAAGCAUUCAACAACCCCACCCCAACCCCACUCCCUCUCUCAUUUUGGCGCCUACUUAAUUAAAGGGUAAAUACAAUGAAGCUCCUGGAGUUUUAGUCUGAAAUCAAGCUGCUCCACACUCUUUUCAUGUUUCUCAUUUAACUCCCCAUUACAAGCCAUCAAUUUCCUCAACUGACAAACAAUAGAAUGCUGAAAAAAACCAAUUAAUCAAUCUAAGAAAUAAAAUACAGCAGAAAGAACAAAAGUAAGCUUUGGAAAUUAGGAGCAAAUAUGAGAGUCACUAUAGGCUAGUUUUGAGAGAAAUCUGAAGUAUAUUCGCUUUAGUCCAACCAUGGCCACAUGUGAAGACUGAGAAAAAGACCUUAAAGCUGCUUUAUUUUUAGGCCAAGAGUCAAAGAGUUGAAUGAUAUUUACCCUUUAAUUACUGAGAUUCGAAACACAAAACAAGCAUACAAUGGACCAAAAAACAACUCAAAAGCAAGACAUCAUGACUUUCCACGCCAUGUUAAAACUAAACAACAUUACAAUUCAAACAUUUAACCUCACAAGAAAAAAAAACCCCAGCAGUAAUACUUAAACAAGUUUAAGUUCACAAGAAAGCCACACUGCACAUCGACGUGUUGUGUCAGCAAGAACCCCCAAUGCCUCUCCAUUCGGAAGAACAGCAAGCACCCAAGGAUGCGACUGACACAAAGACGUUGUUCCAGUACCAUAGCCCCACAAGUCCGUGUUCCAUGUAAAAAUCUACAGGAAAAAAGUUCACCAGAUUGUAGUUGAACAAGUAAAUAAGGGCUCACUGCACAGCAUAUCCAAAAAUAAAUAAACAGGAACUCACUCUCUUUCCCGUCCGCUCUAGCUGACCACUAACUUCCCCAGUUCCAUACAACGAGGUACCAGCAGGAAACUAAAAUCAGAACCAAAAGCCAUCAAAUUAAUUUAGCUUGAAAAAAAAAAAAAAGACAUGCAUUACUAAAGAAAUUAAGAAAAUGCAAUGUCCGCAGAGGCGCAGAGAGUGAACCUCAAGUUUGACUAUCUGUUGACCGUGAACACAUUGAUAAGUGGGAGUGUAUAAAGGGCGCGUGCGAGUCGACAUUGGCGUUUCCCUAUCCUUUCCAUUCACAAAUCACAAACGAAAGACUCGGAUACGCUGCUUGACGAUCACUCGCCGAACAAUCGAACCGGAAAACUCCUUACCAGUUACCAUACAAUUUGGAAAUGUAAACACGUCAGAAAUCUAAUCAAUUUAAUAUUACAGAUGCAAAUCUACCAAAAGAAAGAAAUAAAACCAAACAAAAUACAUAAUCAUUGAAACUGUUAAAAAAGACAGUAAGAAUUGUAGGUGUGGCGACUAAAUUCACAAGACAAUAACUUAUGUCGAUUUGUUGAGUAAAUUGAGAAAAAGAAUGGGGAGAGGAAACAUGAAGAAAAAAAUAAAUCAAUAACUAGAAUUAGACAUUAAUUUUAUAAUUUUAAUAGGUUACUUCUUUGUAAAAAUGAGGAAUUUAAUUGGUUAAUUUUAAUAAACCGCCAGUUAAGUUGACUUUUAGUAAACACUACGGAAUUAUCCGAAAAUUACCCUAAUAGAAUAGAAAAAAAAAAAGUAAAAAUAAAACACCCACCCAGCAGCGCACCAUCGUUUAAUUAAAUCUUCCCAACAACGCGCGGGGGAAGCAGACAAAGUACCACUCACCAGCUCUCAGAUAUGUUCUCUUCUUGGCCUUGCUCUUCUUCAAAGGUACUGCUCAAAUUCAAAAACCUUCUAACUGUUUGGCGUUCUAUUAACAAGUGUUACUGCUCAGAAUCAAAAACCCAUAUCUCAGAUUUACAACUCAACCAAGCUAAUGCCAUUUUAGUCAACCUCAUCAAAACCAAUAACCCCACUCCUGCCAUUCAGUUUUUCAAAUGGACUCACAACUGUGUCAGCUCACCCAAUAUUGCACAGCUAAUUCACGUAUUGCUGCAGUCCGAUAUGAGGGAUGUGGCUUCGCAUGUUUUCGACAAAAUGGUUAUUCAAUUUGGAAAAACUUACAACUUUUUUCGCCUGUUUCGUGACAGUUUGGGAGAUUUUGGUUGUGAUUAUAGCUUCUUGAUUGAAAAUUAUGUUAGAAUUGGAAAGAUUGAUGAGUCUGUUGAGAUUUUUGCUUAUAUGUCUGACAUGGGUAUUUAUUUGUCGCCGGAUUUGGUGCAAAGACUGAUGAGCUGUUUAGUUGAUUCGAAUAGCGUUGGUCUACUUGCUGAUCAGUAUUAUAAGCUGUGUAGAGCAAUGAGAGGGAAGGGGUUUUGCGUGUAUGAGUUUUUAAUGAAUGGUUUAUUGAGGAAGGGUGUGAUUGAAAAUGCUUUUCAUAUGCAUCGACAGGUGAUUCAGAGGGGUUUUGUGCCUAAUAUUGUCACUUGUAAUAAAAUUUUGAAACGCCUUUGCAUAAACGGUCAGAUUGGAAAUGCUUCUAGUUUGUUUGAUGUGUUGCUACUGGUUGGUCCGAAACCGAAUGUGGUGACAUUUAGCACAUUGAUUAAUGCAUUUUGCAAGGAGGCGAAAUUGGAAAAAGCAUUUCAGCUUUAUAAUCUAAUGAUGGAGAUGGAUUUGGUGCCUGAUCUAAUUAUCUAUAGUAUUCUUAUUGAUGGCCUUUUCAAGGCAGGUAGACUGAAGGAAGGGAAUGAACUACUGUUGACGGCACUGGAUAGAGGUUUAAAGUUGGAUGUUGUUGUUUUCAGUUCAGUUAUGGAUGCAUAUGUGGGAAUUGGGGAUGUUGGGAGGGCUGUGCAGACAUAUGAUAGAAUGUUGAAUGAAGGGUUUUUGCCAAAUGUGAUUAGUUAUAGUAUACUUAUAAAGGGAUUGUGUCAGCAGGGUAGGCUUGUCGAGGCUUGUGGGUUAUUUGGUCAGGUUCUGAUUCGAGGGCUAGAGCCAUCUCUCCUAACUUACAGCAGUCUGAUUGAUGGCUUUUGCAAAUCAGGAAAAUUGAGAGAUGGCUUCUCUUUGUAUGAUAAUAUGAUAAAGAGGGGCCUUAAACCUGAUGCAGUUGUUUGCAGCUUGUUAAUAAAUGGUCUUUGCAAACAAGGGUUGAUGGGUGAUGCCCUUAGAUUUUUCUUUCAGUCUGUAAGGAUGACUUUGAUUCCUAAUUUAUUUAUUUUCAACACCUUGACGGAUGGUUGCUGUAGAUUAAAGCGUGCAACGGAUACUGUGAAAUUGUUCAUGUUAAUGGGUAUGUACAACAUAAAACCGGAUGUAAUCACCCACACUGUGCUUAUUAGAGGGAUUGCUAGUCAAGGGAGCUUGAGUUCGGCAAUUUUGUUAUUUUUCCAAAUGCUGAAGAGGGGUUUAACACCAGAUGUCAUUACAUAUUCUGCUAUCAUUCAUGGGCUCUUCAAGGGAAAAAAUAUCAGCGUUGGGUUGCAUAUGUUUAAACUUAUGGAAAGAAGUGGAGUAGCUCCUGAUAUUGCUAUAUAUAAUGUUCUUCUUAAUAUGCUUAUAAAAGGAUGCAAUUUAGAUGCAGCCUUGAAACUCUUCGGUCAACUAACUGAUAGAGGUCUAGAACCUGAUAUUAUAACAUACAAUACAAUAAUUUGUGGCUACUGCUCAUUGAAUAGGUUAGAUGAGGCUGUUCGGUUAUUUGAAAAGCUGACAUGUGUACAGUUGAAACCCAAUUUCAUUACUUUUACCAUAUUGAUUGAUGCUUUUUGCAAAGAAGGCAGAAUGGAUGAUGCCAUUAUGAUGUUCUCCAAAAUGUUGGAAAAGGGUCCCAAGCCCAAUGUGGUCAUUUAUAGUUGUUUAAUUGACGGUUAUUUCAAAUCUCAAAAUAUGAAAAGUGCCUUUGAGGUUUAUGAAGAGAUGCGUGAAAACAGUAUCUCUCCAAAUAUUGUAAGUUACAGCAUCCUCAUUGAUGGUCUUUGCAAAAGAGGACUUAUGGAGGAAGCAUCGUGUGCUUUUCAUUGUGCUCUAGACAAUCAUUUAUUGCCCGAUGUGGUCACUUAUGCAAUCUUGAUUCGUGGUUACUGCAAGGCUGGAAGACCAACUAAAGCUAUGCAGUUGUAUGACAAUAUGUUGAGAAAUGGAAUCAUGCCAGACGGUCUACUGCUAAGCACACUUGCUGGCUAUAAUCUUCAAAGUAGUGGGUCACAAGAGUUAUGUACUUAAAUCUGACAUUUCAAGAUUUUCUUCAUCCAUAUCACAAGCUCAUAUGAUUUGCAACUUUUUCUUGUGCUUAAGAGAGGCGGUUGAUUUGUUUUCAAAAUAUAAAAGGAAUGUUUCUAAAGUGUUCUUUCAGUUAUAAUUAGCCUUUUAACAUAUAAUUGUGCCUUUUCGGUCAUCAAUAAUAGGAAAUCAAUUUCAUUCUCCGUAACUCAAGAAUCCACUCAUUCAAGUUUGAAACAGAAAAAGGUUAUAAUAACAAUGCUAAAGCAAGCACACAAUGGACCAAAAAACAACUCAAAAGCAAGACAUCAUGACUUUCCAUGCCAUGUUAAAACAACAUCACAAUUCAAACAUUUAACCUCACAAGAAAAAAACCCAGCAGUAAUACUUAAACAAGAUUAAGUUCACAAGAAAGCCUUCACAUCGACGUGUUGUGUCAGCAAGAACCCCCA